GUAUGAGGGAAGCAGGACUACGUGUUCAACCAAAUAUAAGCAGAUUCUCUGUGGCCUCCAUUGUCAGGACAUUCAAGUGUACUAUCAUUUGUGGUCGCUCAAACUUACAGUAGAAAUUGAAAGACUGCCACAUGCCGGUGGAAGGAGAGGUAUGUUCUCACAGCAGCAGGAGACCAUUAUUGUCAAUAUGGUCCUCCAAAAUAAUCUCAUUCGUCUGCGUGAAAUACAACAGCGAGUUGAGGAAGACAAAGUGAACUUUGAAGGAAUCAACAGUGUGAAUCUCUCCACCACUGACCGUGUCCUGAAACGCAACCUGAUAAGUCUCAAACAAGCUUACAGAGUACCAUUUGAGAGAAAUUCUGAAAGGGUAAAAGAGCUAUGAUAUCAAUAUGUACAAAGAAUGUUUCAACUGGAUUCCAUGGAAAUGCCUCAUGAGUGCAUAUUCUUGGAUGAAGCUGGCUUCAAUCUCACCAAGAGGAAAAGGAGAGGCUGCAACAUUAUUGGUCAACAUGCCAUUGUAGAGUUGCCAGGGCAGCGUGGUGGCAACAUGACCAUAUGUGCUGCCAUCAGCAGCUACGGGGUUAUUCACCGCGAUGUGACUUUAGGGCCUUACAGCACUGCCCAUCUUAUAAUGUUUCUGCAUGCUCUACAGGAAGCACUACUGAGACGUGAACAGAGAGGUGAUGAGCAGGCAGAGCAUCCCAUGUACGUGGUAAUCUGGGACAAUGUGAACUUUCACCGUGGUCCUAGAAUUCGAAAAUCUCAUUCAGUCAAUGGAUGCAGCAUGUGACAACAUUGGAGUGGAAGCGAUUCAAGGUUGGAUUCGGCAUGCUAAAGGAUUCUUUCCCCGUUGCUUAGCAAGAGACAGGAUUGACUGUGACGUUGAUGAGGUCCUGUGGCCUGACCAUGCCCAGAGGCAUGAUGCUGAGGCAGAAUGAUUCCAAGACAUUGCUUGCUAUUGAUCUGCUGCAUAUUGUUUGUGACUACAUUUACUGUAUGUGUGCAGGAUUGCAGGAAGUACUUCAUAAUAAAUAUAUUUUUACCCCUG